GAAGAGUUUGAUCCUGGCUCAGGAUGAACGCUAGCGGCAGGCUUAACACAUGCAAGUCGAGGGGUAACGAUGGUGCUUGCACCAGGCAUGCGUGCCAUUAGUUUGUUGGUGAGGUAACGGCUCACCAAUUUGGCUAUGAUGGCUAGGGGGUCUUAAAGGAUGAUCCCCCACACUGGUACUGAGACACGGACCAGACUCCUACGGGAGGCAGCAGUGAGGAAUAUUGGUCAAUGGGCGAAAGUCUGAACCAGCCAUGCCGCGUGCAGGAUGACGAUCCUAUGGAUUGUAAACUGCUUUUGUACGGGAAGAAUAUUUUUUACGUGUAAAAAAAUGACGGUACCGUACGAAUAAGCAUCGGCUAACUCCGUGCCAGCAGCCGCGGUAAUACGGAGGAUGCAAGUGUUAUCCGGAUUUAUUAGGUUUAAAGGGUACGAAGGCGGAAGAGUAAGUCAGUGGUGAAAUCCUACAGCUUAACUGUAGAACUGCCAUUGAUACUGCUUUUCUUGAGUGCAGUUGAGGCAGGCGGAAUGCGUAGUGUAGCGGUGAAAUGCAUAGAUAUUGCGCAGAACUCCGAUUGCGAAGGCAGCUUGCAAAACUGUAACUGACGCUCAUGUACGAAAGCGUGGGGAGCGAACAGGAUUAGAUACCCUGGUAGUCCACGCCGUAAACGAUGAUCACUCGUUGUGUGCGAUACACUGUACGCGACUGAGCAAAAGCAUUAAGUGAUCCACCUGGGGAGUACGUCGGCAACGAUGAAACUCAAAGGAAUUGACGGGGGCCCGCACAAGCGGAGGAACAUGUGGUUUAAUUCGAUGAUACGCGAGGAACCUUACCCGGGUUUAAAUGCAAGACGACGUACUGUGAAAGCAGUAUUUCUUCGGACGUCUUGUAAGGUGCUGCAUGGCUGUCGUCAGCUCGUGCCGUGAGGUGUCGGGUUAAGUCCCAUAACGAGCGAAACCCCUAUUGUUAGUUGCCAGCGAGUAAUGUCGGGGACUCUAACAAGACUGCCACCGUAAGGUGUGAGGAAGGUGGGGAUGACGUCAAGUCAGCACGGCCCUUAUGUCCGGGGCUACACACGUGUUACAAUGGUUGGUACAAAGGGCAGCUACACGGCGACGUGGUGCUAAUCUCUAAAACCAAUCUCAGUUCGGAUUGGAGUCUGCAACUCGACUCCAUGAAGUUGGAUUCGCUAGUAAUCGUAUAUCAGCAAUGAUACGGUGAAUACGUUCCCGGGCCUUGUACAAGGUAGCCGUACCGGAAGGUGUGGCUGGAACACCUCCUUUUUAGAGAUAGAUUUAUUAAGAUUGUUGAU
rnacentral:rRNA from 1 species